AUUGAACGCUGGCGGGAGGCCUAACACAUGCAAGUCGAACGAGUGGCGGACGGGUGAGUAAUGGAUGGGAAAGUGCCGGAUGGCGGGGGAUAACUACUGGAAACGGUAGCUAAUACCGCAUAACAUAGGAUGUGCCCAGGUGGGAUUAGCUGUUAGGUUGGGUAAAGUCUCACCUAGGCGACGAUCCCUAGCUGGUCUGAGAGGAUGACCAGCCACACUGGAACUGAGACACGGUCCAUACUCCUACGUGAGGCAGCAGUGGGGAAUAUUGCACAAUGGGUGCAAGCCUGAUGCAGCCAUGACGCGUGUCUGAAGAAGGCCUUCGGGUUGUAAAGUACUUUCGUCGGGGAGGCGGUACCCGCAGAAUAAGCACCGGCUAACUCCGUGCCAGCCGCCGCGGUAAUAC
rnacentral:rRNA from 1 species